rnacentral:lncRNA from 1 species
AUGGUUUGGGCAGUAUGUUGCACCACUCUACCUCACCUGAAGCUGUCUUUGUCUGACUUUGUUUCCCUUAUUACUUUAAAGAAUUCAUCAAAGAGAAUACACUUUCUUGAUGGUAUAUAUUCUAGGAGAGCGCAGGAGAGGGAUGAAGAAGAAACAAGUUCUCCAUCUGAAAAGAAAGUAAACAUCUGCCGAGCACUAAACUUCACUGCUCUUGAACUCAACAAUUCUUUUCUGCCUCUUCAUUCCAUACAAUCCAAAAGGCAUAACCUGAAAAGGGAUGUCACAGAAAGACGUACUGAAAAUCACAAAUGAAAAAGGCUCAAUAGUUAAUCAGCAGUUUUCUGCUAUCCUUUCUUCAACAAGUACAAAAUAAACAAGUCGAGAAGUUAUUCUAUCUUUCUGACUAUAAGCAAUGUGGUGAAUUAAUGUUCCUAAAUGCUAGCACUGGAUAAAUGAAUUCAUUGUUGAGAAAGUUCUGGAUGAGCCAGUAGUCAAGGAUUAUUAACUCCAUUAUAGAUCCCUGUGUGUGUCUGCUCGAAGGCAGAGUUGGAAGAGGAGCACUUCUAUGAAGGAGUCCACUACAUGUACGUGCUUUUGUAAAAUAUUGCAUUUCAAACUAAGUAUUUACUAUCUUUUUCUUAAAGAACUCAAAAUUAUCCAAGAUACGCAAAAGGAAAAAACACAAGGGCAUAUAAGUGCUUACAACUACCCAAUGAAUUUUGGCAGACUAAGUAGCCACCUGGAACAUAACCAGGAGGCAUUCCUUGGAAAGACUCUUCAGGGUUACUGUCCAACAUAGGACAGACAGUGAGGAGUUUCUAAAUGCCCUUUGCAAGACUUUUGAAAAGCUCUGGAUCCACGUAAGAUAUAGGAGAUCUGUAAUAUUUUCAUUACUGCCCUCAAUGCAUUUCCAGAGUCAUUAAUUCAUGUGCAGCACUUCAUCAAAUCGGAUCCUCUUUGUAAAUCCUUUUUUUCCUUUACCUGAACCUCAGUGCAUUUUGUGCUGACUGCUCACAGUAGCGCAGAAAACAAACAGAAAGUACUGCCUGCCUCUGGUCUGCAGCAAGCCUCUCUAUUUGCUGGUUUAAUCCUCCAGACUUUACCCUUUUCCAUUUGGUCCUUCACAUCAUCUCAGGCUAAUCUGUCAAGCAUUUUAGACAGCCAAGCCAAUCUGCAAUUGCUGAGGACUUUGCCACAAGCACCAGGUCUGUUAAUAAGAUUUUCAUUUGGAAAGAUGCCAGGGCAUCCAUGUUUUCUAUCGUAUAUAAAUACUAAGAUUCAAUAGCUUCAGGUUUUGUUUAAUGUUAAUGUCAACUAUUAAAAAAAAAAGGGAGGAGGUUCUCAAAUGCCUGGUCCAACAGUGAAAUCCCCCCACUGACAGCUAUUUGCAAGGGUAAUGUUGUGGAAAACAACAUCCAUCUUGGAAACAGUUUCAUUAGCCCCAUCUAGCUGACCUCUCCACAUAAUGUUGUCAAAUGUGACGGGCAUCCGAUUAUUGGGAAUAUGGAGAUCAAUAAAUAUGCAACACCAGCGCUUAGAAUGCUUCUGGCACCAGAGCCAUACAAAUGCCAUCUAACAUGGCUCAGAGUCGCUGUCAUCUGUCAUACCAGCUAGUAAAUAGACAAGCUUAAGGGGAAGGCUAUCAGUAAUGGUAAAAUAUAUGGGUGAAGAUGAAUUAGACAGGGAGUGUGUAGUCAGGGUUCUGAUGCAUAAAGGUUCCAAAUGAAAAACAACAGGCAAACAUUCUGGAGCAAUAGCCUGCUUUCUUCAGGGAAUAGAUGGGAAUUCUUGCCACAUGGUCAAAAUCUGCUCGUGGGCCCCUCUCUAUGUUUUCCAUGUUGGCUUUUAGAGAAUUAGGUCUGCUUCCAGGACCCUUGCUAGGUGCUUGGAGUUUCUCAAGUGAAUUUCUGCACAAUACCAAGGGGCCAGAGCACAUAUUCCCCUUAAGUCCCUGUAUGCACCAACUACACAAUGUAGCUUUUCACAUGAUGGCUACCCAGGGCCAAAAGAAGUGACUGCAUUGUCCACUUACUCCAGUCUCAAGGACCUCCAACCUUUGGGCCUACAAACAAGCUAUUUGGUGGAGGUGCUAAAGGAAACUUCAAUUCGAGCUAGUGAUCAUCCAAGUCCCCAGAAAUACAGACCUUUGAGAACCACAGUGGAUGGCAACUUCUGUACCAAGCCACCCCCUUCUACGAUCACUGGAGCUGCCUCCCAGUCUGCCAGACACACAGUACCACUGCCCACUGUACCCACCACUGCCUGAAGCUCUAGGUCCUUGCUCAGCCCCCAGCAGUUUUCUCAGCCUCCCUUCCCCAAAAAGACACCACUGCCUGGCUGACCCAUUUUCGUAAACCCUCCUUUCCCUUCCAGAAGGGCUUAGAUUCAGCCAAGUCUACCUUUCAGUUAAAGGAACCUAAAGCAAAGCCAAUCCCAAAACAGAAAGCACAGUGGAUGUGAGCUAUGUUUGUGCAUCUGUCUUCAGACAGACACCCUGUGCCAGAACAAAUGUGUCCUCCAGCCUAAUUAAUGAUGAUGACCAACGAUGGCCAGCAUGCUUCCUCCCCUCUCUGUUUUAAGAAAUGUCAUUCAUCUCUAUGGAAAAGAGAACAAACAAGAAGCAUAAAGGUAUUUUUGAAGUAUACUGUUACGAGGUACUUGGCUAGUAAUUUGCAGCCUAGGUACACACCAUACCUUUUAGCACGGCUAUUUAUCUCUCAGGGAGAAUGCUGCUGUACUUACGAUAAAGGCUCUGUUGGACCUCUUCAUCAAUAGCAAACCUUUAAACACAGCACAUCUCAUAAAUAGGAGUUCCACUAACACAGACUUCAAAAGGAUAGAACUUGAUAAUUCAAAAAUAGAGCUAUAUUAAGUGUUCCAGCAGUCCAUCCAUAAAAGCUGUUGUAUAUUCCAAACGCCA